rnacentral:tRNA from 1 species
GGGCCCGUAGCGUAAAGGUUAUCGCGUUGCUAUGGCAUAGCAAAGACUAGGGGUUCGAUUCCCCUCGGGUCCACCA